GACGUAGGGCGCGAGCGUUGUCCGGAUUUAUUGGGCGUAAAGAGCUCGUAGGCGGCUUGUUGCGUCGACUGUGAAAACCCGCGGCUUAACCGCGGGCCUGCAGUUGAUACGGGCAGGCUAGAGUUCGGUAGGGGAGACUGGAAUUCCUGGUGUAGCGGUGAAAUGCGCAGAUAUCAGGAGGAACACCAAUUGCGAAGGCAGCUCGCUGGGACGUUACUGACGCUGAGACGCGAAAGCGUGGGGAGCAAACAGG
rnacentral:rRNA from 1 species